AGAGUUUGAUCCUGGCUCAGGACGAACGCUGGCGGCGUGCUUAACACAUGCAAGUCGAGCGAAGCACUUUAGGUAGCUUGCUACCUAAUUUGACUGAGCGGCGAACGGGUGAGUAACACGUGGGUGAUCUGCCUGAAAGCCCGGGACAACAGCUGGAAACGGCUGCUAAUACCGGAUAAUGUCUAACAUUCGUUUGUUAGACCAAAGAACUUCGCUUUCAGAUGAGCCCGCGUCCCAUUAGCUAGUUGGUGGGGUAAAAGCCUACCAAGGCGACGAUGGGUAGCCGGUCUGAGAGGAUGGUCGGCCACACUGGAACUGAGACACGGUCCAGACUCCUACGGGAGGCAGCAGUGGGGAAUUUUGCGCAAUGGGCGAAAGCCUGACGCAGCGACGCCGCGUGAGUGACGAAGGCCUUCGGGUUGUAAAGCUCUGUCGAGGGGGAAGAUAAUGACGGUACCCCUCAAGAAAGCCCCGGCUAACUACGUGCCAGCAGCCGCGGUAAGACGUAGGGGGCGAGCGUUGUCCGGAAUUACUGGGCGUAAAGGGCGUGUAGGCGGCCUGUCAAGUCAGCUGUGAAAUUCCUCGGCUCA
rnacentral:rRNA from 1 species